ensembl:lncRNA
UGGAGGUCUUGGCAAGAAGAUGAGAAGACAGGACAAGCAGUCUCAGAUCUGGGCACUAAUAUCCCUUUGACAUUGCGAUAUGCUCAUAUAGAUGCAGUCAUAACAACAGAGAAUUUGCUUCUCAGUAGUUGACAGUGCUGGACAGUGCUCAAGGGAGUGGGCCUACAAAAGAAGUCCGCACCAGGGGCACAGCUGACUUCUGCAGAAGGAAUGCCAUGGUGGGUGAGACCAAAGGUCCCCUGCACUUGGCAUCUCAGCAAUGGGUGCUUAGGAAAGGACUAUCGGCAACAAGAUGGGCAUGUGGAGAUUUCCCAGGCACAGGAGCAAUACUUCAUGUCUCAUGAAUAUAAUGUUCCCUCAAAAAAACAAAACAAAAAUAAAAACAACAACAAAAAUAGAGGCUACAUACAGACAAUAGACAAUGUGUAAACAGGCAAAAUAAAUUUUUUUAAUUGCUUUGUCUCUCUAAUUCCUGCCUAUGGUCUUACAUUUUUGAAGUUGUCAUUUCAUUUCCUAUCCCUUAUUUAUAUUGUUCAGUCC